AUUAAAGUCACAACGGCAAAAGAUGAGCAUGCGUCCCAUUAGCUAGUUGGUAAGGUAACGGCUUACCAUGGCUACGAUGGGUAGGGGUCCUGAGAGGAGAUCCCCCCACACUGGUACUGAGACACGGACCAGACUCCUACGGGAGGCAGCAGUGAGGAAUAUUGGUCAAUGGACGCAAGUCUGAACCAGCCAUGCCGCGUGCAGGAUGACGGUCCUAUGGAUUGUAAACUGCUUUUGUACGAGAAGAAACAACAUUACGUGUAAUGUCUUGACGGUAUCGUAAGAAUAAGGAUCGGCUAACUCCGUG
rnacentral:rRNA from 1 species